AAUUUUCAGUUUUUUUUUUUAGGGUCUGAGGCUCUGAGCAAAGGAUGGUUUGAUGACUUGAUAUUGAACAUUUAAUAAAGUGUUAGCUAUUAUAGAACGAGAGACUUAUGGCUCCACAUUGACAUUUUUUAAGUUACAAUGUCUAUUUAGUCAAACAGAUUUAUUCAACUUAUUGUAAAAAGCUAUUGGUGAAUUUUGUAGCUCAACGUGAAUCGGUGAAUCCAAUAGCAAAUCAAUAAAUCAUGCCGGGAAAAGUUAAAGUGAAAAUUCUUGCUGGAAGGAACCUUCCUGUAAUGGAUCGUUCAAGUGACACUACGGACGCUUAUGUUGAGAUAAAAUUAGGUAGCAUAACCCAAAAGACAGAUGUUUUUCGAAAAUCUCUAAAUCCUCAAUGGAAUUCAGAAUGGUUUAUCUUUGAGGUUGACGAUGCAGAACUUCAAGAUGAACCACUUCAAAUAAGAUUAAUGGAUUACGAUACAUACUCUGCAAAUGAUGCCAUAGGAAAAGUAUACUUAGAUUUAAAUCCACUUCUGGUCACACCUGGCAUUUCAGGUAUCAGAGGUAUCAGAUCGGAAGCUUGCUCUGUCCCGAGUUCAGGAGGGCAUGUAUUAUCAGGUUGGCUUCCAGUGUAUGAUACAAUGCAUGGAAUGAGAGGGGAAGUGUCAGUCAUAGUCAAGGUUGAAUUAUUUUCUGAUGUUAACAAGUUUCGGCAAAGUUCAUGUGGUGUUCAAUUUUUCAGUACUCCGUCAACACCUCACGGUUUUAAAAUUCAGUCUAUUCAAGGGUUUGUUAAAGAACUUGUUGUUAAUGAUGACCCAGAAUAUCAAUGGAUAGACAAAAUUCGGACACCAAGAGCGUCAAAUGAAGCCAGACAAACAUUGUUCUCUCAACUUUCGGGGGAAGUACGUCGUAAAAUCGGAUUAAAAGUAUUAGAGCUUGGCGGAAAUGCUGUAGUUGGAUACCAGCAAAUGUUUGAUCUUGAAGGAGUAACUGGGCUAGUGGUACGCGGGAUAGGGACAGCCGUAACACUAGCUAGGUGCCAUUUCGAUGGAAACGCAGCAGUUACCUGGUUCAAAGAACAGCACCAUGGAAGUAGUGGCCGAGAAUCUCCUCGUUGUGCAGCCAUUUCGCCAGUCGAUGUCGUUAAACCAUUACAUAGUACUGCUGCCAUCACCACUCCAGUGGUCGUACAUGGAAUGACUCCUUCACGACCUUCUCCCUGUCGACGCUCUUCAGAAUCUGAAAUCAACACAACUCCAAAAGCUUCCAGUUUAUCCGAUAGCUUCGGUUCAUCAGGGGGAGGCGUAAUUGCAUCCAACUGUCGUCCGACGACUCACCGUCAGACAUCAGUUCCUGCUCCACCUACUAGCGCAUAUCUCAAUACUGAUGUUACUAGGAACCUUGAAGUCCUCGAAUAUCCUUUCUUGACAAUGAAGACCUACCCCCCUGGAUUCAUCGUACAUAUUGGGGGAACAGUGAGUGCCAGGUCUGUCAAGUUGUUGGAUCGGAUAAACAAUUCCGAAGGAGAACCGGAAACCCGAGAUAAUUGGUGGACUGAAAUAAGAAUGGAAGUUCGUUCACAUGCACGUGCGCUCGGCUGUUCCGUGAUUCUCGGCUACGAAGAGCAUACUAGUAUAAGUGAUGAGGUUUGUGUAUUGAGCGCAUCCGGCACAGCAGCCGUUGUUAAGCUGCAGCAUACAGAAGUGGAGGUUAAAGAUAUAAACUAUCACGGAAAAGGCAAUCCACUUAACGCUGAGGAAAGUAAAGUUACUUUGCCUUGUCGUGUCUGCCACAUCCCUUAUAGCAAGGCCAGCAUUCCUUUUCCCAUCAAGCUUUCUCGCUGCGCUCUAUGCAGGAAGGGCAAAGUUCCUGACGUGUUAAUAGCUACUAUCGAACCUCCGACAGGAAUGAACGUGACGGGACGGGGGUGUCUCAUACAGGCCCGUCUAUGUCGUCCAAAACGUGCCGAAUCUCGUGGCGAUCAGCAAGCGAAGGAAGUUUCGGACGGGUUGCCUUUCCUAGAAUACGAAUUGCAUCGGCAGUUAAUUAAUAAAUUGAGAACCAAAGGAAUGAAUUCAAUAUUCCAUCUUAAGGUGCAAGUGAGUAUCGGAGAAAGGCAUGUAGUUGGCGUUGCUACUGGCACGGCGCUUUUUUUAAGCGCUCUUCCGACUCCAUCUCUGCCUACGCCAAGCAAUCCUAGCAUAUCUUCGAAACAAUCAAAAAGAGGGCGAAUUAAUAAGUUAUUGAUUGAAGCCCACGCUACCAGUCAAGAGCGCUAUGGCCUUAAUAAACAGCUGAAUAAGGUUAAUGACAUGGAAGAAACAAAGUGGACCGAUUCUGAUGAUACAGAUGAGGAUGCCAACGAUCUCGACCUUACAGCUGGAAAUAAAGACUCUUGCGUCAUCGAAAUUGACGACGUAGAAGAUAUUGACGUGAUUGAAUUACUGAUCGACCCCGAAACACCGGAAGGCUUCGACGUGGUGACUACUGAGACUGUACCUGGAUUACCGAUCGAUAAUAUUCGUCGACACCCUAAUCUCCAAGCUUUCAAUCGUGUGUGGAAGGGCAAAAUUCCAUCGGUGCAGGCCGCACGGCAUUUGAAUCGCUGCUUUGAAAUGAUCUUACGGAGUAUUUACUUCAAGUUGCGCAAGUCGCGUCCGUGCGUAAUCACGAACCUUCAGUUCAGCGUUGAUUUACCCGAAGAUGACGAAAUUCAAAUUUCUGUAUUAGGUACAGCCAUCACGUCCUUCACUAAAAUUGCGCCAGAGCCUGCCCCUUGUAUAGGAGCCUCUCUUAGAGGCGUCGGUUCUACCGAAAGCGAAAUGAUUUUUCAUCUCGAGGAUGACGUAGUUCAACUGCCAGCGUCGAACGAGCCGGCAGCUUCAAUGACGAAGGUAAAUCAACAGAUCCGUCAAAUUCCUCCUCCGCCUCCUUCCAAUCAAGGCCUGUUGAGAACGGCUGGCGACAAAGCCAAGUUUUAUGUACAGAAGGAAAGACAGCCGGUAGACAUUGUGACUCUAAUCCACUUACCCGGUUCACGAGUCGAACGCUACUUAGGCCAUCUUAACUUCUUCUUCAUCCGAGAAAGCACCAGCAUUCGUGAGGACGGUGGCUUGAGCGGCUUCAUGCAGUCGUUCAUCACGGAGGUACUGGGCAUCGUACGAGCUCAUGUCUCUGCGUUAGGUGGAAACGCCAUGGUUUCAUACUUUAUGACGCAAUGUGUGCUUCUUCACAACCCUCACAAAAAUCAGGGACAAUGCCUCAUCAAUGUCGGCGGGGAUGUUGUACAGGCCGUCCGCUGCUCUACCGAUAAGGACGUUUCAAAUCAUGCCUAAACUCCUAGUUUCGACUCAUUGUGUCCUGUAGCAGUUUAUUUUAAAUUCUUCCUUGAUCGCUUCCAUCAAGAGAAAGUUCUAAUAAUGGAGACCGAUCCUGUCAUAUUUUCCCAAAAUGUCAAUGUUUAAUUGAUUGCAUCUGUGAACAGCUGCUGAUGGUGACGUAGAUGUGAAGCAUGAAAGGCAAGUGAUUAAUAUCGUCAUUUAUUUUCUGAAGCAUCAACAUUAAUUUUCGGCCGACAGUAAUUCUCGACCGGUUGUGUUACAAAUCGAAUAAAUAUAUCGACCAAUAGA
rnacentral:misc_RNA from 1 species